CAUAGGGCAGGGUGGUGGCCAACAGCCACCCGGGGUGACCCGCGGGACAGUGCCACAGAGAACAGACCGCCGGCUGCUUGCAGCCGGUAAGGGUGAAACGGUGGUGUAAGAGACCACCAGCGCUCCGGGCGACCGGAGCGGCUCGGUAAACCCCACCCGGAGCAAGUCCAGACAGCGCAUGCACGACGCCUCGGCGUCAGGGAGACCGGCCCGGUCGAGUGCGCGGGUAGGACGCUGGAGCCGGUCAGCAAUGGCCGGCCGAGAUGGAUGACCGUCACUGCACCAACGUCGGCAACGACGGUGCGGG
rnacentral:misc_RNA from 1 species